UGGGGAAUAUUGGACAAUGGGCGAAAGCCUGAUCCAGCCAUGCCGCGUGUGUGAAGAAGGUCUUCGGAUUGUAAAGCACUUUAAGUUGGGAGGAAGGGCAGUAAGCGAAUACCUUGCUGUUUUGACGUUACCGACAGAAUAAGCACCGGCUAACUCUGUGCCAGCAGCCGCGGUAAUACAGAGGGUGCAAGCGUUAAUCGGAAUUACUGGGCGUAAAGCGCGCGUAGGUGGUUCGUUAAGUUGAAUGUGAAAGCCCCGGGCUCAACCUGGGGACUGCAUCCAAAACUGGCGAGCUAGAGUAGGGCAGAGGGUGGUGGACUUUCCUGUGUAGCGGUGAACUGCGUAGAUAUAGGAAGGAACACCAGUGGCGAAGGCGACCACCUGGGCUCAUACUGACACUGAGGUGCGAAAGCGUGGGGAGCAAACAGG
rnacentral:rRNA from 1 species